GGUUUAACAGCUUAACUACAAGUAUACUUAUAUGGUGUUACCAGAACCACACCUGCCCAUAUAAUGGAUUCCCCACUAAAGCAUAUUUUCAAAUAAUCAGAGUCCCACAUCCUACAAUGGACUGGAUUUUUUUUUUUUUUUUUUUUUUAAGGGGAUUAGGUAAAUGGAGACUUAAACUUGAGUUUGUUAAAGAAGUGAUAUGCUUUUAGCCAACUGGAUUAAGCCAGACUAAGCAUCAUAGACAGAUUUAACUUCACCUUUAGUGCCACAUUUGAUAUAACACCA
rnacentral:misc_RNA from 1 species